UAACCUUUCAAAAUUCUGUGCUGGUGGUUCACUGUUUAUACAUUUUUAUAUUUUCUGGAGUGAAGUCGAUCACACACAAAAUGGUAAGCAUACUAUAAGUAGAUUAAACUGUCUUUUCAGAGGUGCAGCUCCUGCAAAGAGUAGACAAAGCAGAGAAAAUAUUGCUCAAGAAGAUAUCUCAUCUGUCAUCAGAGAGGCACCAGGUAAACAAUGCACAUAAGAAGCAGUGUUGAUUUCUGAAGGAGACAUGGAGAGAUGGAAAAAAGCUAGCCCAACAGAAACCAAUAAAUGGAAAAGGGACUACAUCAUCAGACUGAUUCAGUUCUACAAGUUCAAAAUUGAGGACUCUGCUGAACAUUAAGGAAAAAAUACCGUAUCGGGAGAAGAUGGCAAGAUUCUGAUUCAAACUUCCAGUCUACCCUUAAAGAUGUGGACCGUGAGCUCAGAGUCCAACUGUAAGGCUAGAACUGAAUCAAGGGAGAGAGCAGUCGUCCUCCACCUGAGAAGAAUAAAUCCAGCUUUGCUUCAGAUGGGCAGGGCAUUGCCAUUAGACUCUCCAAGCAGGUAGCCAAUUGAUUUUCAGGAAUCAUGUGAUCCCUCUUGGCAUGUCUACUUCUGCUUUAAUGACACUAUUGAAGAAGAUGAUGUUUCGAGGAGUCUAAAAAGGCGAGGGAUUGAUGCCUUACAUAUGAAGACUCGGGCAGCUGAGGAAAAGUGCAUGCUUUACCAGGAAAUGAGAAGUCUAAGGGCUCAGUCACACCAAAAGCGUUUAUGGCAGUUGCAGGCGCCUUUUUUUAAUUAUAUUCUAUGGGCAGGGCGCGUUUGCGCGCUGUUUAUGCGCGCCGAGCACCUCGCGUUUUUUUGCCGCCUGCCGCGCACGCGUUUUUGAAGGAGCGCUGAGAGCGGAGAAGCGCCCGACGUCAUUCGGGUCUUUCCAUUGUCCAAUCAAAUGAGGGGAGAGGCGGGCCUUACGUUGUGGUGACUGGUGAGUGAAGUUUACAGUUGCUUUGAAGAACCAGACUCCACUCGCUCACUCUCUCCUGCGUGUUUGUGCACCUCUCACCCUCAAACAAGGUCAGAGCAAGCGCCCUCUUUUUAAAGUUUCUGCUAAUAUGACAGUUAACAGCAAAAGAGCGUUCACACUUCAAUAUUUGAUUGACAAGACAGCUGACUCUGUGGUUGCUUAGCAAUAUGAAAAGCCACGUCGCACUGCUCUUUUUUUGCAAGCGUUUAAAGCGCUUUUGGUGUGACUGGCCCCUAACUGAACACCCCAUCAGCAGCAGGCCUCUAACAUUUGGGCUCUAACAUCAAAGACACUGAGCAGCCUGGUGCAAAAGCUGCUCUCAUUCAACACCUCCAACAGCUGGAAAGAAAACUAC